rnacentral:misc_RNA from 1 species
AUAGCAGCAGAGUGAGCUGCUACAGUAAUAUGAGAGUACAGUUUGAAGAUUUUUAUACGGGUAUUUAUUUAUACCCUUGUAAAUUUAACUUGAUGUAAAUAAUCUUUUACUUAUAUGUAUCUAAAUAGUUAGAUGAGUAGUUGUACAUUAAAGUUUGUAACAAUAUUAAUUUUGAUUUUCCUUUUGUAAAUUAAGACUUGUGUAUAUAAAUUUAAUUUAAUGGAAUGUUUAUG